GACAAUAAAUUCUGAGUAAAUGUGGUAUCAUUAUCAUGGCCGUCCAAAUAAGUUUAUAAAUUGUUUUUUAAUUUUCAGAUGCAGAAAAUGGGGAUUCUUUGUGACUUUAUAGCUUUUGAUUGAUGAAUGAUGUGGGUGGGUUUUUGUUGGAUGUGCUAUUUAUAAUCUAUAGCAUAUUAUUUUGUUUUCAAAUAUCUGAAAGGACAAAACCAUUUACCUUCUAAAAAUAAUUCAAUCAUAUGCAAGAAGUAUAAUUAAUACAUUAACAUUUAUACUAGAUAAUUCUACAUAAGAAAUCCUUUCAACAAAUCCCUAUAACUAAUAAUUUUUUAUUGGUAUUUAACGAAGUGAUACAAUUCAUAACAGUACUCUCCAUUGGUUAUAAAUGCAGAACAGGAUGGGAUUUGGAAAAUCAACCCAGGUAUAGUGAAGAGGAAGGAUUACAAUUGCACUUAAAUAAAAUCUUUCAAACCCAGGGAUUAGAAUUUACUUGAGAUAAUAUUUGUUAUCGCAAGUAAACAUUUGUUCUUAUGGAAAACUCAAGUUGGCUGGGUGGCAUGAACUUUGGAUAUAGACUUCUUACAACACAAGACAAUUCCACUAGGAUUUAUUGAGUGCCUACUAGGAGCAGUAUUCCCACUCAGACCUUCAACCAAGUAUUAACCAGAUACAAUAUUGCUUAGUUCCAAAGAUACAGUGAAAUUGAGGAUACGAAGGCUGAUACGGCCUUAUACCCCAAACAAGUAUUUAUCAAGUGCCUAAUGUGUCAAGAACCAUACUAUUAUGUUACAUUAUUUUAUUAUUAUUUUUUUCAACAGGGUCUCACUCGUUGCCCAGGCUGGAGUGCAGUGACAUGAUCAUAGCUCACUGUAACCUUGAACUCCUGGACACAAGGGAUCUUACUGCCUCAGCCUCCCGAGCAGCUAGGAUGACAGGUGAUUAGAUAGAUCAUCUGGAACUAUUGUCUGGCCUCUUCCUGCUCCUGAAGAAAGGCUUAGUGAUUUCCCUGCAGAUGACCUCUGUGCUUGCCAUCCUACAAUCCAUUCUCUACACAGAAGCCAGAAUGAUGUUUAAGAAAUAUAAUGAAACAACUGGUUGAUUUAUUUUGUAGCACUUAUUAUAAAGAAUUAUUCUAGUCAUUACAACAAAGUGAUUCAAAAUGUAAUGCAAAAAUUCGAGUCACUACAACCACUGUAGAGGUUUUAUAAUAGAAAAAUAUUAUAAACAACAUAAAUGUUAAAAAUAGAGAGGCUUGGAAAUAUAUUUUGUACCUAUGAAAAGAACAUUUAUGAAGA
rnacentral:lncRNA from 1 species